AAACUUUUAACAACGGAUCUCUUCGGUUUCUUGGCAUCGAUGAAGAACGCAGCGAAAUCGCGAUAAGUAAUCGUGAAUUCGCAGAAUUUCAGUGAAUCAUCGAAUCUUUUGAACGCACAUUCGCGCCCCCUGGUAUUUCCGGGGGGCAUUGCCUGUUUCGAGCGUCAUUU
rnacentral:rRNA from 1 species